UUCUCUACUUUUACCAGAUAAUGCUGCUGAACAUGUUGUACGCUGAUGACAGAUUUUUAGCUGCUUGUCAUGUGUUGAACACAAUUUUUGGUUACUAGUACUAGGAGCAUAUAUGGCUGGCUCAUCGUCGAAACGGAAGCAGAGAGAUAUAUACAGUUGAUGAUGAUGUGGUCUUCGAUGUUUGUUUGUUUAAUUCCCUCUGGUCUAAAAAGC
rnacentral:lncRNA from 7 species